rnacentral:lncRNA from 1 species
CCAUAUCUUGGCUAUUGUGAAAAAUGAUGCUAUAAAUGUGGGAGUGCUGAUAUCUCUACAAGAUCCUGAUUUUAAUUGUUUUGGAUAUGUAUCUAGAAAUAAGAGUGCUGGAUCGCAUGGUAAUUCUAUUAUUUUUAGGUUUUGGAGGAACCUCCAUACUGUUUGCGUAGUUGCUGUAUCAUUGUACAUUCUCAAUGUACAGUGUACAGGGGUUCCAAAUUCCCUACAUCCUCACCAUUUAUCUUUUGGUUUUUUGAAAAUCAACAUCCUAACAAGAGUGAGGUAAUAUCAUUUUGAUAUUACUAUUUGCAAUGACUUUUUGAAUAUGACAUCAAAAGCACAGGAAACAGAAGCAAAAAAUAGGCAAGUUGGACUAUAUCAAACUAAAAACAAACAAAGAAAACAAAAACCAAGCAAACUUCUACACAGCUAAGGAUACAGUCAACAGAAUGGAAAGGCAAUCUAUAAAAUGAGAGAAAAUCUUUGCAAUCCAUAUAUCUGAUAAUGGAUUAAUUUUCAAAAUAUAUAAGAAAUUCCUACAAUUUAAUAGCAAAACAUGCAUAAUCUGAUUAAAAAAUGAGCAAAGGAUUUGAACAGACAUUUCUUCAAAGAAGAUAGGCAGAUGGCCAACUGGUACAUUAAAAAAUAUGCUCAACAUCUUUAAUUAUCAGGGACAUGCAGAUUAGUAGAACUUUCAAGUACAUAAAUAAAUAACUCUACUUCAUAGACUAACCUAUAAAAUGCUGAAUUUUGUUAUGUAAAAUGUUACAGAAAUAAUUUCCUCACAAUUGUGUUAAUUCGUUUGUGCUACUAUUACAAAAUAUUUACUACUUGGUCAUUUAUAAAGAACAGAAAUUGAUUUUUCACAGUUCUGCAGGCUGGAAAUCCAAGAUGAAGUCACCUGUAGUUCAGUGUCUGCGUCUAAGAGAGCACUUUGUUGCUGCACCCGCCAGAGGGAAGAAAUACUGUAUCUUCUCAUGAAGGAAGGAACCAAAGGUGGGAAUAGGGACCAAACUCCCUCUUUCAAGCCUUUUUGUAGUGACAUUAAUUCAUUUAUGAGGAUGCCACCAUCAUGACAUACUCAUUUCCCAAAGGAUUUCACCUCCUUCCACUGUUGCACUGGGGAUUAAUUUUCCAACACAUGAAUUUUGAGGGACACAUUCAAACCAUAGCAACUGGUAUAUAGUAACUAGGUGGCCCGAUGGUCUUCAUAAUAAAAUUAUAUUUUACUUUAGCAUAAAAUAAAAGGUCAAGGCUUGUAACUGUCAUGAGACUGCUUCAUGUAUAUCUCCCCUAGUGACUAUCACGGUUGACUGACAGCUCCUGGGGUUCAUCUUUGUAUCCAUCACUACCUAUACUCCAAAAUCCCCAUCUCACAGCUGUUGUCAGCCAAUCACAAAGCAUAGUGAGGUGCUGUUCCUGCUCAAUAUGGAGGAAAACUUUGGCUUGAUAACUCUCCAUUGGCCUGCCAAAAUAUGUUAAGUAUUGUGCUACUAUCUGAAACUCAUUUUACCUAAUCUUUUUUAUUUUCUUUCCUCCUUCAUAAGGUUUACAAGUAUUGUGGCUGAAGGCUGUGUCUAUUCCUGCUUCCUCCACCUCACCUUGCAAAAGUGUUUAUCCAAAUAAAUCCCUCACACAUCUAAUCCCAUUUUGGCAAAUUCAGUUUCAGAACUUUGCCUUCACUACUAGUCUCAAGGAAAAUAUAUUAAUACACACACACACACACACACGCAUGCACACACACACACAUAUGUAUAUAUUUCCCAAUCUAUUACAGGUAAAAUAUACUCUUAUCAUGAAUAAAUCCAAAUUGUGAAUGCUUAAAAUAUACUUUACAGAAUAUUAAAAUUUAAAAGCAUCACAGGAAAAAUAUUAAUACUGUUUACAGAAUUUCAAUAUGUGAAUAAUAUUUACAUUACAGUUUCAUAUGAACCUUUUACUUCUCUAUUUAGUAUGCCAUCAUGUCACUGCAGAGGUAUGAAAAGGAGAGCUCUCCUAGUUGUGAAAAAAGAAACAUGUUUUAUUGGGAGCUAAGUGGAAGGUUGAACAUGUGGGAAUAUCUGGGCAUGCACUGAAGACACCUUUUGCAUCUCCCCCAUCCACAUAGCAAAGUGAAUGUGGUUUGUGUCCAUUUAUGCAGGAUACUCUGGAAAACCAAACUGAAGCAAGGUUAACAUACAUUUUAAAAAGAAAACUAAAGGAAAACAACACAUACUUUAUUACCUAUCAAAGUAACCACUUCAUUAUAUUUUAGUGGAAGCUAUUAUUUAUUAUCGAAUUAUUUGCUUGGGCAGGAGGAUACAGGGUUUUUCCAUUUGGGUUGUAUAUGUUCCUCAUGAGAAAAGCUGAAGACAAAAUCUUACCCUUCUGCCCAAAGUCAAUUGAAUCAACAUGUUUACCUUGCUCCACGGAGCUGCUAACCUACUGUCUGGGUGUUGUGUGGCUUGGCAAUGGAGUUCUGCAUGACAGGAACAAUGGUUUUUAAGUGGACUAAUCAGAGCUAUUAAUGCAUAUGCAGUGAAGGAAGGAACUUUGCUACAUGCAGGGCUUAUCAUUUUGCUAAUAACAAUGCCUGGCACAGAUUACCAAUUUGUUGAAAUAAAACAUAUUCUGGGAGAUAUAAGAUAGAGAAAGAGCAGCAUGUAGUAGAAAUAGAUGUCGAAAGAUGAAUUAAGAUGAUGCAUUAAGCUUGAAACGUGAGGCAGAGAAAGCUGUACAUAAGUUGAAGGCUUUGAGUUAAAAGACUAUAGGAAUUAGAUGAGUGGGGGCUAUGGAGAACAGAGAGAAUUUAGAGUGUGGACAAGUGUUCUAUGAGCAGAGACUGGGACUAGCCAAAACGUGAUGAUGGGCAGCUAGCUUGGAAACAAUGCUUACAACGUGAAAAUUUUAUAUUUACAAAAGGCCAUUACUUCUGUUAAAGAACAAUAGACCCCAGUGAAAAGAAAGGAAAUUGAAAAAUAGAGAAAAUGUGGAGAAAACUAGAAUCUCUAUAGACAGCAUCAAUGCAGCAUCAAUUAUGUGAACCACUUUUGAGCACAAAGAACUAUUGUUUUGACCUUGGAGGCAAUUUGGUCUUCAUUAGGUUUAGCUGUAGGAUAGUUGAUGUUCAUUAUUCCCUAUAAUGCUUGUGAUGGCAAAACCUUCACAAAUUUAUAUGAUCUAGGUAUGUUUUCAAUCCUUACAACCCAAAUAACCGAUCAUAACUCUCACUAUGUCAUUUGAAAAAAAAAUGAUCAUCAGAAGUGUAAUUCAAUUAGCAAGUAUCAGUAGUGGAGUAUAAAUUAUUAUUGGUUAAUACUAAGUAUGAUUGAAAAAUAGUAGAUGGAAAUAUGGGAAUCUUUAUUUUGGAUGAAUAAACUUUAUGCCUAAAACAUAUGUUUAUAAAAAAUACUUUGUGAAUAAACCCCUUGUCUAAUAUUUAAAAGAGUUGAAGUAUGCUAUUAUAAGACCUUCCUUAAUUGAUGAAAUGAUGCAAAGCCAAUAAUAUUGCUCCACUUACUGAAGUAUAGAGAUGAAUAGAAAACUUUUUCUUUAUUCCAUGUUCUAUAUAAGUCAAGAAGUAGAGCUCAAGAUGAAGUUUUUUGUUUUUAUGUUUGUUUGUUUUUUUCCAUUUCCCUGGGAACACAGCAACAGUCUCUCUGGGUCUAAAACAUCCUUUUUUCAGUACAUCCCACAGCAUCCUAUAGAAAUAUGUUGCAAUCAGUUGCCAAGUCACAUCCUAGCUUAAUGUCAGCAAUUUUCUUUCUGAACCAAUUUUGCACUCAGCAUUAAGAGGAAAUAUUGAAGGGAGACAUACCUUUUAUGUUUGUAAAAUUUAUACUUCUUGAGAUAAAAAGGCAACUAUAUCCAUUGUCGUGAGAUCUUGAGAAGAAAUAAGAAAAUGAAAUAUUAUAGAAAAUAUUAUAUUAUUUAAUUGUCCUGUUCUAAAACACUUUCUAAGCCUGCCUGUUUUUUUGCCAAAUUAAAUCAAUAUUUGGAUGUAGACAGCUUUUCAGAGUGGCAGUAUCAUAGUCAAUGAAGAUGACCUGAGGCACAAUUAUUGCUAAUUGGACAUAGAAACCACCUUCACUCAUAUAUAAAAAUUAUUAUGUGCUAUACUAGAUAUUUCAGGAGAACUGAUAAAAGAAAGACUGUUGUAUUCAUAUGCUUGUCUUCCUGGCUAGAGGAUCUGUUUUAAUUAAUCAGCUCAUGGAGUUUGGAAAAUAUUUAUAGUAUACAUAGCUGAGUGUUCAUGUAAAUUUUGAAUACAUUCAUACAUCUUUUUUUUUAAAAAAAGAUUGAACUUCAAAACCAUUUUCUUACAUACUCAGUAGAAGUUGUUAUGAGCCAACAUUUUUUGUGAGCUAUACUAUUUUAAACAUGUAAAGUAAAUUAUUUGACAUAUAAAAAGACUUCUUCAUUUAAAAAUAUAUCUUUUAAAAAUAAUUUUACAAGUGAUGGCAUCUCAUUUUAGAAGAAGAGGCAUCAAUGACAGCAGUUACAGUAACUCGAUGCUGAAUAUGUUUUUAAAUACAAGAUGCUGUGUUCAGCAUUGUACAUACAUUAUCAAAUUUUAUUCUGAUAAUAUGCUGCAUGAUGUAUUAGGCUGGGUUCUCUCAGACAGAACCUACACGUAUACAUAUAUAUAUACACACAUGCAUAUACAUACACAUACAGAGAGAGAGAGAAAGAGAGAGAGAGAUCUCUACAUUUAUUAGAGGAAUUGGAUCAUGCGAUUAUGGGGGCUGAGAAGUUCCAGGAUAGGUUGUCUGCAAGCUGGAGAACCAGGGAAGAGAGUAGAGUAGCUUUCUCCAAGUCCUGAAGCUUCAGAACUAGGGAACUGAUGGUAUAACUCUCAGUCAGAGGCCAAAGGCCUGAGAACUCAGACAGCCACUUUGCAACUCCUGGAAUCCCAAGGCCAGAGAGCCUGGAGUUUGGAUGUCCAAAAGCACCAGAAGGAGGGUGUCUUAGGUCCAGGAGAGUGAGCUUUCCUAUGCAUUUUUGUUUUAUCCAUACCCCUGACCAAUUGGAUGGUGCCCACCUGCAUUGAGGGUGGGUGUCCCUCUAUUAAAUAUUUUAACUAUAAUUUUAACUGUGAUAUAGGCACUGAAUUCUUGUUGCUAAUAAUCUGGUAAGAUCCAUCUGAACUAUGAAGUGAGUACCUGGAGGAACUCCUACAUUUUAGGCUUUCAAAGGUUACAGGCUUUUCGUGUGUGUGUGUGUGUGUGUGUGUGUGUGUGUGUGUGUGUGUUUUGAGAAAAAUGGAAUUCAAACACUGUGAUUAGAAUGUAUAUUUACUUAUAUAGAAUUUAUGAAUGACUGUAUAUAAUAAUAAUUACUGUAUAUAAUUUUAAAAUAUAAUAAAGUCUCUAUCCAUGU